GGGGCCCGGGAUCUGUGGGGCCCUUUCCGGCACCGCCUGCACGGGCAGGGAGAGCAGGGCCGCGGGCGUGUGUGCGCUGUGGCUGCCUCACCCCUGUCCUCUGCCAGAUCCAGGGAAGCAGGACGUUGAAAACUUCAUUGAGUUGGUGUUGACACAGGACAAGGUCUAAGUUUGCUUCAUUUUACGUUGUCAGACCUCAAGUGUUUGAGCACAGGCCUUCUCUAACUUCACACGGGUUGCGUGGAGUCUACAAUUCAGAGCAGCAAGUUAAAAAGAAAAAAAGGCAAGAGGACUCCUCCCGGAAAGAUGGGCCAUCCAUGAGUGCGCGGCUUGUCACUGAAGUUUGGCAAAGCCAGAUUGUCGCCGGUCGGAGCAGCACUGCCCUUUCUCUGGCACCAGUUUUGCAAACUUUCCGUUUGAAAACCAGAGGGAUGACCGACUUUGCGGAUAAAGACAUGAAUCUCCUGGCACGCGUGAGAGCUGACAUAAAUAAAUAUUGACUCGGAAUGACCAGUCUAAGAGGCGUGAACUCUGUUGGCCAUUUGGAUGAGAAGGACAGAACUGCAGUGGCACCAACCCUGGGAUUGUUCGUGACACGUGAAGGUAGCAGACACGCGGGGAGCUGGUAUCAGACGUCUUCGUGUGUGAAAAUUUGACAAGUUGAAAAUCAGAUACCGCUGAGGGCAGUGGCGGAAGUCAGCCUCCUCGCAGAGAACUGUGGUGCUGGGUCAGCAUCGGGGCUGCUUGAAAUGGGGGGGGGGGGGGUCUCCUGCACCGUCCGUUCCAGAUGCGUCCCUGCUAGCACCAGGUGACUGCACAGCACACGUGCUCAGUGUGGCCCAGAGCGCGUUGGGACUUUAGAAAACCAGCAGGAGGCGUCCCUGCUGACGCGCCCCGGGGUGUCCCUUGUGCCUGGCUGCAAAACAGCGCCUGCGUCGUCGACUUGUAAAAGUCUUCACGGCCCAGGAAGCAGUUUUCAGCAUCUGCCACCCCAUGUCCGUGCGUCCAGACCGCGUUUCCUAAAGAGGGGCCUCAAUGGAACCAGUCUCUCUUCCUCCUGCAGAGCCUCUGCGUCCUGACGCUGUGCAGAAGCCGCGGGACGUGGAGGAGGCCUGAGCCGCCGCCCCCAGGAGCCCUCGGCGCCCACACGGUGAGUGCCCACCGCCGCCAUCGGCCCCCAAGACCACGGUACCCAAACGUCCCCCAGUUUCCUCAGGCACACGAUGAAAGGAAGCCUUUCCUUUAAAUGUUUAACUUUGAUACAUUGCUUUG
rnacentral:lncRNA from 1 species